UUCAAAAUUGGGGGUACAUCUUAAAGAUGCGUAAUUUAUACUUUUCUUUAGCAAAAUCAUGUGACGAAAGGGGGGGGGGGGGUCUAACUCCCGGAUCCCCUCUGGAUCCGCCACUGAUUACAAACUUCAGACAGUCUUUGAUUCCUUGAUGCAUUUGAGUAUGAAUUAUUUUCUUUUAUUUCUAAAGAAUAAAUACUUGUAUCAAUUUCGAAAUUACACAUAAUUGCCUAGUUUAACAUUUUUUUUUUUAUACUAGCAAGUAUUCUUCUAUCCCAACAUUCGAACGCAUGAAUUAUCCCCCCCCCCUCCCCAUUAGGCAACCAGUCCAAGCUGCUACCAUCUCUAUGUGCAAUAUCGAUUGAUAGAUAUAUUAUAGGAUUGAACAUUCUUUUUAAAGAAUUUAUCGAUGUGUAAACUCUGGACAUUUUACUCACAAACGGAGUAAAAGUGCAAGGCACUUUUAUGUUAAGUUUGUGUGUAAAAUGUUCAGAAUUUACUCAUAAUAAAUUCUUCCAAAAAAAAAAAAAGGUUUGAUUCCCUGUAUUAUCAAUUUCAAAAAUUUGAAUAGUUUUCCCGCACUGUUAUUUGUUUUCAGGCGAGUACAUGUACGUAUGCAUAGCGUUUUUGGAUUUAUUGAUGUGUAAAUUCACGAUUAGAUUUGUUUUUGUCCAAUCAAAACAAUUGUAAUAAAUAACAUUAGAAUUAUACUACAUUAUUUAUCAUUACUUGUUUUUGGCACCAGCGUAUUUUGUUUAAUUUUGUAGGCGGUGGACCAGCGGGAAAGCCUUUAACGCCAUUAGCAGAAGCAGUUGGGAGUGUUAUUGGUACCAACAAUAUAAGUAUCAGUGGGAUCCCUGGUACAGUUGACACAACAUAUCUAAUGCUCGACAGACCAAAGAUCAGCACGGAAACCACAGCGAGUACGAUUGAAUCAGAUGGCCUUGUGACUCAAGAUCUCCAUGUCAUCAGCACCAGUGAAUCUGGAGAUGGGCAGCAACAAAUAAACUUUGUUACUGUCCCACAGCCAAACGCAUGUCCUACCAAUGUUUGCACCCACACCGUAAUUGACCCGCAUCUGCAAAAGCAGAAGCUAGAACUAGAAAUUGAGAAUCUCACCCUCCGAAACAAGUUUAUACGACUUCAGAUAGAAAGAAUUGAAGGAGUAGAUACAAGUAGUGAAUUAUAAGCGCUUUGACACGAAUUUACUCACAUUUAGUAAUUAUCAAAUAGUUCUAUAAUCUUGAAUUAAAUAAUGUUGCCAGUACUUUUUUGAUUAUCUGUAUCUUUUCAUUUACUGUUACGCAGUGACCACAUACCUGUUUACAUAAAAUGAGCAGAAACAAUGUGGUUUCUGUAAGCUCGACCAUCUGUACCCUGGAUAUCUGCAACUAUGUGGUCAUUGGCAUUUAAAUUGCCAUUGUAAGCAUCUGCGUUGUCAUCAUCGUCAGGGAGGGGCAGAUUGAACAUUUUUGCGAUGUUAUGUAAAACUCCGCAUGCUAUGAUGACAUUGCUGGCACGUUGAGGAUGCUGACGUAUUUCUCCAUGAAGAACAUGGAACCGUCUUUUUAAGUGACCAAUUGUUCUCUCAACAAGGGUGCGAGUGCACUUAUGCGACCUUUUAAAAAUGAAGAUAUACUUUGAGAAAAAUAAUUGGGGGGGGGGGGUGUCAGAGGUGUGUGUUACAUUCAUAUAUAGAUAGAGAAGAAAGAGAGAUGUGUGUGAAUGAAAAUAUGCAGUUCCAAAGUAUAUCCACAUGAAGAUGGAUAUUAGAAUCCAGAAUGCGUUAGUGUUUUGAAUAUACUUUUGAGCUGUAUAUUUUCUUUCUUUCUUUUUUUUAAUCUAUUAUUUUUGUACUCUAUGUUAGUCCCUAAGCCAUGUUUUUUCUAAAGUUUUAAAGAUACACGCAUGUCAACAACAAAAAUUCGACUUGUAUCUUUCGUAAUAGUUAACAUGAAUGAUAUCUAUGUUUGUUAUGCAGAAUGGGGAGAGCAAAUUUAAACUGGGUCGAAAUGCCUCGGUACCGUUUACCGAAAGCAGCAACCCCAACAAUUUGGAUGAACAGCAGCGUCCUCGUCAUGAUGGGUGUGCUGCUAGAGAAUUUGAGAAUAUUUCUCGUAAUAUAAGCGAUAAGUGUUUAUUUUUCAAAGUGCUCCAAUAUAUAUUAGGCCCUAAUUUCCUUACCUGUUGUACCGUGACUGUGGACCAGCUUGUGGAUUUAAAAAAGGUGUCAGCAGCCAGUCUUUCCCAGGAUAACCGCUAUCACCGAGAAGAUGGCAUUUCACGGGCAAUAAACGUCGUUGAAAGAGCUGAAAUAGACCACUCUCCCUCAGUAUUCUGGCAUCGUGAGUCGCUCCCGGCCAGCUUGCCACGAUGUCUUAAAUCUUAUAACUGGCAUCACAUACAAUCUGUACAUUUAUACUGUGAAAGUUUUUCCGGUUGACAUACUCCACUUCGUGUUCACUGGGAGCUAUAAUUCGCACAUGAGUUCCAUCAAUCGCCCCAACCACGCCAGGGAAACCAGCAAUGGUAAAAAAGUCAACCUGGUGCUUUCGAAUAGUUCCUGGGUCCAUUGGAAAGGAAACGAAUCGCUUGACAAUAUUUGGUUGAACAAGAGCCGUAGUAACUCUUUGAAUUAUUCUUGAAACCGUUGACUGGUGAAGACCAAAGUUGUCACCACUACAUAGCUGCAUCUUACCUGUAGCAUAGUAUCUCAAGGCAACCAUGACUUGCACAAUUGCAGGUACACUGUGAUUUCUGUUGGUCAAAGGCAUAAUGUCAUAUUGAAUUAAAUCUGUUAUAAAUUCAAUUCCUUCCUGAUCAAAUCUAAAUCUGUGCUGCAGUUCUGCUGCUGUCAUUGAUUCUAAGGGAUUAAUUCGUGGUUUGAAUGUUCUCUGUUUUCUGUCAGCCAUUUUGUUCUUGCUAAGCAAUAUGCUUAAGAACUUAAGACAAGUAAAGACCAUGCUUAAAUUUAAGCAUAUACUUAAGAGUUAAGAAGUUUUAUGCAAUCUGCUAAGCAAUAUGCUAAGUAAAAUCUCAACCUGCUAAGCAAGAAAUUCAUACUUAAGUAUAUGCUUAAGGACUUAAGAAUUUUUAUGCAUACGACUCCUGGUAUAUCCAGGAGUCCCUGCUUGCCUAACUCCCUAUUUUGUAGUCCUUAUAAGUUAUCUUCACAUUUCAUCAUUUACCUCUAUUGCAUAUAUUUUGUAAAAACCUUUUUCAUAUGUAUUGAUGUAACGAGGUAGAGAAGGACACAAUAAUAGAUAAAUGUCGGAUCAAGUGAAAAAGAGAAAACUAUGUUCCUAUCCCCCCCCCUUAAAAAUUAAAAGGAUUAUAUGACAACGUGGAAUUAUGAUAUUACUAGCAGUAGUGAGUUUGACAUGCAUUGCAUUAUGUUUAAUUGUUUUAUCAAUUGAAUUUGUCCCAAAAACUCAAGAAAAUUGAAAUCAUUGCUACUACUAUUACAGCUGUAUUUAUAGAAUGCUAUUGUCCUGAAAAUCAUUAAUUAACAUUUUUCUUUUCUCUCUCAAUAAUGAAAAUUGUUAAUCAAUGAAAGUCUUCUGCUCACUUCUGUCAUUGCUGCACUGUGGUGAAUUUGCAAAAUUGGUUUUAAAGCUAAAUUACACUGUACAACUUUGUUGUAAAAUCUAAACUAUUUCAUUUGGAACAAUUUCAUUCUUUUUGUUGUCCUUCGUGAUUUCCAUACAUGACAAACUCGUCUAGACCUGUUAAUAUAGACUAACUUGUAAAUAAUCUGAUUUAGAUUCUAGUUUAUGGUUUUAGGCAUGUUUUCGUUGUUUGUAAGGACAGCAUAUUUUGUUAAACUGAAAACUUUUGUAGUUACAAAUUAACAUGAUAUCAGAUAACUGUUUUACACACUGAAUCACUAGUCAUUUUGUUUCCAAGCGCAGAACCGAGGAGGAGCUAAGCAAGAUUGACUGUUUUGACAACCACAUCAGAUUAAAAGUUCGUGCACACAAGGUGUCGUGAUUGGUUUUGUCAUGCAUUGGGGAAGGGGGAAGUUUUAUCAAAUGGAAAUACAGUUCAGGGAAAUAUGGUAUAGAUGUAUUUUGCCACAAAGAAACAAUCUUUUUGUGUGAAAAGUGCAAAAGACACACUAAACAUUACUUGAUAAAUAUUGAAAAGUUUUUAUGAAAUCAAUUUUUUUUUAAUAACGGGGUUUAUAGUAAAAACAUUUUUUAUUCCCUGAUGGAAUUGAAGCAUGUUCAUAAUAUAUAUUGUAUGUACAUCAAUUAUUUACGAAUAUUUAUAUACUUACGACAAUUAUGCACAGAAGAAAUGGACAAGCAUUGUGAACAGAAAGUAUGAGUCACAAAACCUGAAACCAAAGAAGAUUCAAGGAUAUGUUAAGAGUAUUUUGAAGAUGACAGAUGUGCUACCUUAAACCCCUUCCCUACACUAAACUUAGGUUACACACCCCACAAACCUAUCACGUUUAGGUCUCCACCUACGGAAUAAUCAGACGUUCACCAAAACAACAAAGGAAAACCAAAGAAACUUCAUUCUACAGCAGAUUUACAUCCAUGUUUGACCCAGCAAUCCAUUUCAGACUUAAAUUUUGAAGUUGAGCAAAGUUUACAUGUAUUCAAGGAAAUUGAAAACUGAAAUUCCAAAUACAUUAUCCAAGAUGUAUGACAUAAGAACACAUAUUAAAUGAAUUAUAAAUUUA